UACGUAGGGUGCGAGCGUUAAUCGGAAUUACUGGGCGUAAAGCGUGCGCAGGCGGUUUUGUAAGCCAGAUGUGAAAUCCCCCGGCUCAACUGGGGAACUGCACAGGAAACUGCUUGGCUUGAGUUCGGGAGAGGGAAGCGGAAUUCCGGGUGUAGCGGUGAAAUGCGUAGAUAUCCGGAGGAACACCGGUGGCGAAGGCGGCUUCCUGGACCGACACUGACGCUGAGGCGCGAAAGCCAGGGGAGCAAACGGG
rnacentral:rRNA from 1 species